CCACCCCAGGUAGAGGUCAUUUGACUGUGCCUCUGACCUGAAUUCUCUUUUUUUUUUUUGUUACGAGCUAGAAACAGUUUUGUGUUCUGCUUAGUGUUGCAACGAAACUGUAACUUGUGACUAACAGUUUUUCUUUCUCUUUUCUUACUUGUUCUAUCUCUAUAUGGUAAUCAAAAUGUUUUUGCCCCGUGUACUUUGAAAACGCAUUGACCUGUAGUAUAUUCAUUACGGACUAGCUGGGUUGGAAUAUGAUGUAUUUUCUUUGUUGGCUGUUGAUUGUAUUGGGAUGCUUAAGUUUUGUCCUAUUUCGAGUGAUUUAUUGUGAAUUAAAAGUUUUGUUUAGUUCUCCGAUUGUUUCCCUGAUUAAGGGUUUUUGUGGCGCACAACGUUUAGUUCAUUGCAAUUAUAAUUUGUUUUUUCUUCUGACCUGCCCAUAUUGAAUGAAAAUGCCCAGCCCCGUCGUGCGUUGUGUGUCGACUUUCUUUCGUUACCCAGUUCACAUUCACGUGCCUUGUCGUGCUGUGUUGGUCUGUGCAUGCCCUAACGGCGGUUGGUGUUGGUGUGUGGUCACGUGACCUGGUGCAGUGUCAAUGUCAUUAUUCUAGAAUGCUGGAGCUACAAAUUAUUGCUGCGAGUCCGGUCAGACUGUUUCCUUGAUAAAUUGCUUGCUGUAGUGCAGUUAUUAUUUUUCGCUCCGCUUUUUAUAAUGGUUCGGUAUUUUGAAGUGCAUUGAAGUUAGUUUUGAGUAGGGAAAGGUAGUUAGUGGUUGAUGCAGUUUGAUUUUGGCGCUAACGCUGUGCUGCUUGCAGGUGCCUGGCGCGUCAAGACGGAGGCAGAGGAGUGUGGCAGCCCCCCAGCAGGAGGAGCGCGGUGUGGCCUCAGCGCCCCGGGCGCUGGACAGGACGACUCGGACGGUGCCUGGCGCGUCAAGGUGAAGGCAGAGCAGUGUGAUAGCCCUCCUGCAGGUGCAUGCAGCACCGCCGGCCCCCUAGGACAGGACGACUCGGACGAUGCCUGGCGCGUCAAGACGGAGGCAGAGGAGUGUGGCAGCCCCCCAGCAGGAGGAGCGCGGUGUGGCCUCAGCGCCCCGGGCGCUGGACAGGACGACUCGGACGGUGCCUGGCGUGUUAAGGUGAAGGCAGAGCAGUGCGACAGCCAUCCUGCAGGUGGAUGCAGCACCGCCGGCCGCCCAGGACAGGACGACUCGGACGGGUUGGAGGCUGAGGAGCCGUGGCUGCACAUCGACGCCACCUUCUCGCUCGCCUCUGGAGUCGGCCACGCCAGGCAGGACUCCGCGGCCAGCGGCACGGCUGGGGACGGAGGGGCGGACCGCGCUGUCGCCUCGCAGUGUGCGGAGCGUGGAGCGGCCUUGGAUGCCGAGGCGGGCCUGGAGAAGCACCUCGCAGCGCGCGGCAAGCGGCACGCCUGCCAACACUGCGGCAAGGAGUUCCAGUGGGCGUCGUUUCUUGACCAGCAUUUAAGAGCCCACACCGGGGAGAAGCCUUUUCAGUGCAAAGUGUGUGGGAAGAAGUUUUCGCGGUCAGGCAAUUUGUAUCAGCAUACAAGGAUCCACUCUGGGGAGAAGCCUUUCGAGUGCAAAGUGUGUGGGGAGAAGUUUGCGAAAUCAAGCAACUUGACCAGGCACGAAAGGAUUCACAUUAGGGAGAAGCCUUUCGAGUGCAAAGUGUGCCAGAAGCGGUUCAGCCAGAGGUCUGCUCUUGCCGCGCACAACAGGACCCACGCCAACAAGAAGCCAGUUUAAUCUUAAUGUACGUAGUGUUAUUUUACGCGUUCGGACGUCCACCAAAGCGGCCUGCCUCGUAAGGGGCAGAAGAGUUCAAGCUUCUCGUGGUUCUAGUUAAGGACAGCCUUUAGGUACAAAUAUUGUAGGUGUAAAUUCUGUCCAUCCUAGCUACAUAGGGGUCACGUGAUUGCGCCCUUGUCUUGUGUUUAAACACACAUUGAAGCCUCAAAACUUUUUUGUUGCGAGCUAGACACAGUUAAUCUUGCCACAAAACUGUAACUUUUCGCUGAUUUUUGUGACUUUUUUAUCUGACUGUAUUUGGUAAUCAAAAUGAUCUUGCCUUGUAUACUUACAAAAUGUUUUAACCUGUAUAAUGUGAGUUUCGGACUGGCUGGGUUGGAAUAUAAUGUAUUUUCUUUGUUGGCUGUUGAUUGUUUUGGGAUGCUAAAGUUUUGUCUUUUUCGAGUGAUUUAUUGUCAAUUAUAAGUUUUGUUACAUUUUAGUUCUCCGAUUGUAUCCCUGAUUGAGGGUUUUUUUGGCGCGCAAUGUUUGCUUCGUUGCAAUUACAAUGUGUUUUCCGUUCUGACCUGCCCAUAUUGAAUCAAAAUGCCCAGCCUCGUCGUG